GAUGAACGCUGGCGGCGUGCCUAAUACAUGCAAGUCGAACGAACAGACAGUGAGCUUUCUCCCCUGACGGUAGCGGGUGACGGGCGGGUAACACAUACAUAAGCUACCUAUUAUACUGGGAGGACUUCGGGAAACCACUUCUAAUACUACAGAAUAUAUUGUACCGGUGAAAUCAAGAGUGAUUCACGGCUUUCGUGAUAGUUAUAGACGGAGCCGGGCCGCAUUAUCGAGUUGGUAAGGUAACGGCUUACCAAGGCAACGAUGCGUAGCCGACCUGAGAGGGUGAUAGGCCACACUGGAACUGAGACACGGUCCAGACUCCUACGGGAGGCAGCAGUAGGGAAUCUUCCGCAAUGGGCGAAAGCCUGACGGAGCAACGACGCGUGAGUGAUGAAGGUCUUCGGAUCGUAAAACUCUGUUAUUAGGGAAGAACAAAUGUGUAAGUAACUAUGCACGUCUUGACGGUACCUAAUCAGAAAGCCACGGCUAACUACGUG
rnacentral:rRNA from 1 species